rnacentral:tRNA from 2 species
UCCGGUAUGGUCUAGUGGCUAGGAUACUUGGCUCUCACCCAAGAGGCUCGGGUUCGAUUCCCGGUACCGGAA